rnacentral:rRNA from 1 species
GAUGAACGCUGGCGGUAUGCCUAACACAUGCAAGUCGUACGAGGGUUUUUAACUCUAGUGGCGGACGGGUGAGUAACACGUGAGAAUUUGCCUUUAGGAGGGGGAUAACAAUCGGAAACGAAUGCUAAUACCCCAUAUGCUUUUGAGUGAAACGGACUUAUCCGCCUAAAGAGAAGCUCGCGGCUGAUUAGCUUGUUGGUAAGGUAAGAGCUUACCAAGGCGACGAUCAGUAUCUGGUUUGAGAGGACGAUCAGACACACUGGAACUGAGACACGGUCCAGACUCCUACGGGAGGCAGCAGUGGGGAAUUUUCCGCAAUGGGCGAAAGCCUGACGGAGCAAUACCGCGUGAGGGAAGAAUGCCUAUGGGUUGUAAACCUCUUUUUUCAGGGAGGAAUAAAAUGACGUGUACCUGAAGAAUAAGCAUCGGCUAACUCCGUGCC